rnacentral:lncRNA from 1 species
GAGAACAGCGGUAGCUCCUAGGAGGGUAUCAGCUCCGGCGUACUUGCAAGACUUGCAAUAAACGACGCCUUGAACUUCAACAAGGCUCCUAGGGAAACGAUGGGUGGGUGUGGGUGGGUGAGCAGGAGCAACGUGCGGUGGAGGUGGGUGAGCAGGAGCAACGUGUGGUGGAGGUGGGUGAGCAGGAGCAACGUGUGGUGGAGGUGGGUGGGCAGGAGCAACGUGUGAAGGUGGGUGAGCAGGUGCAUGAGCGGGAGUGUGAGCCGGUGCAUGAGCCGGCGGGUGGGGGUGGUGGUGAUGAUGGUGGUGGCUUGGGGCGUGAGCCGGUGGGGCAGUAGGAGGGUGGCUGUGGUGGUGGUGGUGGUGGUGAUGGUGGGGGCUUGGUGCCGUUGCCGGGGUUACCGAGUGGUAGUGUGAUGGUGGCAUAGCCAUGGAACUCUCAGUGUAAACCUGUUCACCAUACACAGUGAAGCUGCAGCCGGCUAAGACCAAACAAACAUGAACAACAAUCAGUAAAGCUUUACCCAUUUUGUUUUGUUUUUUUUUUUCAGUCUUCUUUUAUCUCUAGUAAAGAAGAUGGCCAGCCAACUAGGGGGAGGGUGAGAGAGUGAGAGAGAUCGAGAGAGGUGGUGAAAACGAUCUCCGAUUGGGGGAAUUUAUAGGGGUUUUAACCCGUGAUUCUCUGCGGUUUUUUGUGAUAAAAUUUUUAUUUUAUAAUAUGGUGGUGGGGCUAUUAUUAUGCAUUAUGCUGUGAGGUGGACACAAACAUAAUGCAAAAGAAGAGAGAUAAUGAGAUAAUGCAAGAUUGAUUCGUUAAUUUGUUUUAGCGUUUGGUUGAGGCCCAAAUAAAAUUUGUUGAAUUUUUUUUUUAAUUUUAAAUCUAAUAUUAAAGUCUAAUGAUAUUCAUAAUACUGAUAUUCAAUGUCAAAUGUGUAGACAACUUCUAACAUCUCAAAUUGACUCCCAUAAUGUGUGUGUAUAUUAUUCAAGGAGACUUAAAAGGUCAUUCCACAUGUGUUGUGUGUAGAAAAAGAGUGACUAAUGAGUAGGGAUGGUAAAUUAAUCCGGACCAGGAUUGGACCCGGAUAAUCCGGUCCGGGUUUAACCCGUACCGGAAGGUAAUACAAUGCGGAUCCGAAAAGGAUAUUUUGAACCCGGAUAUAUUCCGGUCCGGAUCCGGUUUAUCUUAACCCGGAUGUCCGAAACCCGGACCCGAAUAAUUUAAUUAUAAAAGAAAAAAAAAAACCUAAUGCCUUAAGUCUUAACCUACUGCAGCCGCUUCUUUCUUCUCCAAUUUCUCUUUCUUUCUCCUCCAUCUUCUCUUUUCAUUAAAACAAACCCACUGCAGCUGCUUUCUUUCUUCUCCAAUUUCUCUUUCAUUCACUCAAAUGACUUGGAAAAAUCUUUGUAUUGAAAGGAAGACAAAGAGGAAUGCACCCAUUAAGGCUUAUACUCAUUUUUUGUCACUCUUGCUGGUUUUUGACAGCUACUUUCCGCCACUCUUGCUGAUUUUUUGUCACCAGAAAUUGCCGAAUCUCCACAGCAACUUUUUGACGAUGCUCUCCUCGACGCCGACGACAACACCAAUGCCACCAAAAAUCUGAAAACUCAGCAAUCCUCCCUCAACAUUCAUUUAGCUAUGGUUUCAGGAUUUUGGUGAUUUGAGAUUUGGAGAUUUGAGGAAGUAACAUCAAGAGAAAAAAAAAAAUUGUAAUAGAUAUGCGGGUUUAGAACCUGCAAUCCAAAAAUUUGACUUUUUCUGGGUUCAAUCCGAUUCGGACCUACAAUAAAAAUAUCCAGAUUAUAUCCAGAUCCGGUAUAACAAAAUUAUCAUUCGGAUUCAGAAUCGAAAAGACUGGACUCGAACCCGGAUCCAGAUUUUGCCAUCCCUAAUAAUGAGUGGGUUCCAUACGUUAUUUUACUUACUAGGGAAAAAUUAUACCGGUGGAGGAUUUUAAAAGGAUAAUUAGGAAUACAAGGUGAUUAAAUCCCAAGAGAUCGUUGUAAACAAGUGGCUCAGAGAUUCACAUGCAGAGGUGAGACCGUGCGAGUGGGCUCCGGAAUUUUGGCACAUGUAGCGAGGCAAUGUAGAAGUUUCCGAUGUUUCUUUGGUUACUGAACCUCUCGUCUUUAUUUUUUUAAAAUUAAAUUAAAUAGUACGUUGAUUCUUUGGUUUGGGAAAUUAAUGAUAUUUACUAAAACUCUUGGUAAAUGGUAAAUAAGAUGAAUGAUUGGUAUGGGCCCAACCAAAAAGUAAUGGCAAGUGAUAAAAUUUCGAGCUCUUUGUGGAUAAAGAAAGAAUAUUGUACGUUACAAUAAUUUUUGACGUUGAAGUUCCUGUGUUUCACAAGAAAAGUGAAAAUAAAAUAAAGCAACCUUAAUUUCCUCCGUUAUUAAAAAUAUUAUAAUAUUUUAAAAAUAUAUUAAUUAUUUAUUUUAAAUUAAUAAAAUAUAUUUAUUAUCUAUUAAAUUAUUAAUUAACGUUGAAAGAUAAUGACAUUAGAAGGGUAAUUUAAUAUUUUCACACGAUAUAAAAAAUAAUAAAAGAAUUUAAGAAUAUAAAAAUGAUAAUUUAAAAGUACGUAAGUGAUAAUAAGAUAAUUUAAGAGUAUAUAAAUAAUAAUUUUUUUAUUUUAAUUUAAAUUUCAAAAAUAAAAUAUCAAUUCGCUGUAUUAACUUUCAGAUGGUAACUAAUGAUUUAGUUAUUAGUAUAUAUAUUUUGUCAACUUAAAAUGAACGAUUAAUAUUAUUUUUUACAACAAAACAAAUAUAAGGUAUAAAAUGAUAAUUUCCCUAACAUAAAUAAAGAAAUGAAACACUAUUUUCGCUUUUGCCACUUUCGUUUUCGGUUUCGAAUUAUCGUCGGAGUCUAGAAACUAGGUUGUGUAUUUAUUAUAUGUGCUCUGUUUUUAUUUGUUUAUCUUUUCUCUGUUCUGACACCUUAGAAAACUUAAUCAGAAAACGACAUGGCAAGGAGAAAAGAAAAUAUUAUACUAGGGUUAUUGAUAUUAAAUCAGAGCUAGAAUUAGCCUUAGGGUUCCUUCUUUUAAACCCUAAAAAUUGAAAACUCAAGUUUAUUAUUUAUCGUAAUAUAAUUAAAUUCCGACAAAGUUAAAUAAUGGGUUCAUUUGAUGGGUAAGUCGUGUAAAAUUUAUCAAUCGUUUUUCGCGUAAAAUUAAUAGUAGAAAUUUCCAAAUCUAAGCGAAUGUCAAAUUUGGUCCAACGCAUGAAAUAAAUUAAAACUCUGGAGAUGAUAACUUUCUAGAUAAUGUAAUUGAGCUUUUUAUAUAUGGAACUGCAAAUGUAAUUCCUCUGUCCCGCAUUUCGGUCCUUUUAUAGAAGGUUAGAUAUUAUAUUUUGAUGAACUAUUAUUUGAACUAAUUAAAUAAUGAUCGCUCCUUGCACAUAUCCACUGGGAUGCGUUUCAAGAGACAGAAUGAUAUCUGCUGUACCGUACAUCCGCCUUGGCCGUACAGCAGAUUAAUAAAAUAUAUUUAUUAUCUAUUAAAUUAUUAAUUAACGUUGAAAGAUAAUGACAUUAGAAGGGUAAUUUAAUAUUUUCACACGAUAUAAAAAAUAAUAAAAGAAUUUAAGAAUAUAAAAAUGAUAAUUUAAAAGUACGUAAGUGAUAAUAAGAUAAUUUAAGAGUAUAUAAAUAAUAAUUUUUUUAUUUUAAUUUAAAUUUCAAAAAUAAAAUAUCAAUUCGCUGUAUUAACUUUCAGAUGGUAACUAAUGAUUUAGUUAUUAGUAUAUAUAUUUUGUCAACUUAAAAUGAACGAUUAAUAUUAUUUUUUACAACAAAACAAAUAUAAGGUAUAAAAUGAUAAUUUCCCUAACAUAAAUAAAGAAAUGAAACACUAUUUUCGCUUUUGCCACUUUCGUUUUCGGUUUCGAAUUAUCGUCGGAGUCUAGAAACUAGGUUGUGUAUUUAUUAUAUGUGCUCUGUUUUUAUUUGUUUAUCUUUUCUCUGUUCUGACACCUUAGAAAACUUAAUCAGAAAACGACAUGGCAAGGAGAAAAGAAAAUAUUAUACUAGGGUUAUUGAUAUUAAAUCAGAGCUAGAAUUAGCCUUAGGGUUCCUUCUUUUAAACCCUAAAAAUUGAAAACUCAAGUUUAUUAUUUAUCGUAAUAUAAUUAAAUUCCGACAAAGUUAAAUAAUGGGUUCAUUUGAUGGGUAAGUCGUGUAAAAUUUAUCAAUCAUUUUUCGCGUAAAAUUAAUAGUAGAAAUUUCCAAAUCUAAGCGAAUGUCAAAUUUGGUCCAACGCAUGAAAUAAAUUAAAACUCUGGAGAUGAUAACUUUCUAGAUAAUGUAAUUGAUUGUCCAAGUGAUUGAGCUUUUUAUAUAUGGAACUGCAAAUGUAAUUCCUCUGUCCCGCAUUUCGGUCCUUUUAUAGAAGGUUAGAUAUUAUAUUUUGAUGAACUAUUAUUUGAACUAAUUAAAUAAUGAUAUAAUUUUUAUUAUUUUAAUCGAGAUAUAAAUUAAAUAUUCUAAUUAAGCAAAUAUAGUAUUAUUUUUAUGUUUUCAUUGGCUUGAUUCUUGACCAAAUCAUCUUUCAGUACGCAUCCCUCAGUUGAUUACUGACAUGGCAUUAACCCUUCCCUGGUUGAGACGCAAGUAACAGGUACCUACUGGCGAUCGAGGUCGGUUGAAUUAUUUGAUGCAGUACAUCAUAAAAUUUUUUUACUAAAUUUGGUAUAGAUUAUAUCACAUUAACAUAAUUUUUUUAAUAAAAAUUUACUAAUGGUAUAUAAUUAAUAAUUCUUAAUUGACAUUUCUCUCUCCUACUUGUUUGCUUAUCCUUCCACCAUUUUUAUUUUAUUUUUUUCAUUUAUCUCUUACUUUGUGUUUUGUUUCAGCUUCUCAUAAACUCUUUCACUCCCAAUCUAUAAACAAAUAUUUUCAUGCAUUUGUCAUAGAAUUCCAGUUAAAUCAUAUAUUUUUGGUCCAACAGUACUUAUCGGAAAAAAAAUUAUUUCAACAAAAAAUCAUUGAUUUUUAUUUAAGCCCACAUUAAUUGAUCCACAUUUCCACACACAAGUAAAAUUAUACAACCUCGCAUACAAAAUGCAGCUUUUAAAGUUCAGAAGUUUCACUAUGCUCUGAUUUUACAAUCAUAAAGAUUGCAAAUAAUAUUUUUUUUUUAAUCAAAAAGGCAUAAAUGACAAAGCUUUUAUUAUAAUGAUCGGCCGAUGAAUCGCAUGUGCCAGAAGAGCCGAAGACAAACCCAGUAAAGCAGAAAAAACAAAAAAGUAUUAACUCAUAGGACAAGUUUAAUUAAUAAAAAUUAAUUAUAUUGAGUAAGAAAUAAGGAUCACUUAAAUUUUAUUUCUUCUUGUGUUUGGGGUAAAAGGAUUAUAUAUAGCUUUACUGAUGUAAUCAUCAUCAGGUAUGUGUAAUUUAUGAAGCUGCGUCCAUAACCGGAUCCACCAAGAAGUCACAUUUAAAUCGAACAGCUGUUUUUGUAUUCAAUCGAGAGAUUAUACAUUAGGCUUAGGGUUGCAGCACCUCAAUGGCGAGCUGAAAAUAAUAAAUUGUUGUUGACUUAGAAAUAUAAAAUGAAUUAGAAUGAUCGAGAUAAUCGGAUAUAACAGAUCAUAUUAUAAUAAAUACGAUCUGAUCCGAUGUAAUGGAGUUCGAUAAUAUCAAUACCGAUUGUGCGUAUAAGCCAAUAGCAGUUCUUGAUUUCUUGUAUUGUAUGAUUGUGUUGUAUCCAUUCGAUUCAAGCAUAAAAUAUAAAAAAUGAGACGGGUAUGAGUUGAGCAGUGCUGCAAAAGAAAAGAUGAUCGCCCACUCAGCCGCUUGGCAGUUUGCAUGCAGUCCAUGAGCAGCCAUUUUUCAUUCAGCUGCUCACCGUCCUUGGUCCUUAUUCCUAAUAUUUAUUACCCUAUCAACUAACUCUCUUGUAAUUUUUUUUUUUUUUUACAACAUCAAUGAUAUAAGUAACAUGUACUGUUGAAUCUAAUCAGCUGUACAAAUUAUUUCUAUUAAUAAUUUUUUUAAAAUAAUAGAACUAGUUAACAAUCGGUUCAAAAUGUGAUUUGAAAUUUAAAAAAAAAAGUAAAAAGAGAUAUGAUAAAAAUAAUAAUAUCUCGGGUUCUUUUAUUUAAAAUUAAACAAGUAUUACUUAUUUUAUAGCAUUUUGAUGUCGAAACAUAUGAACCGCUUUGAUUAUUUUAAUUGAUUUGAUAGUUAAUCCUUGUGACUUUGAGUCCUAUUAUCAAAUUGGGUUACUUUAAAAAAAAAAUGAAAGAGAAAGUGGUUGUGCAAGGGUUUAUCAAUGAUUAUUUUUUAGGUACUUAAACUUAUAUCUAAGGCUGAACCUUAUCUAAACUACUUGCUUUUGGUCGCCCGAGCACAGCCUGCCAACAAUUAUGGCGGUUGAAUUUGAAUGGAAGACUAGUAUUCUUUCCAAGCAGUGGACCUAAGAAAGGGCGAAGCAAGUGACUUUUACAAUUACUUUGCUUCUUCUGUUCAUUAAAAUACACUUUGCAUUUGACGUGUGGUUAUUUCAAGAUGAUUUGGUACCAAAACUUAUUUUUAAGUUAUGCCAAUUAAAUUCAAAAUAGCAAUAUUUAAUUGUUUUCAUUAUACCCCGGAAAUUCUUCUUUUGUUAAAUUAAAAUUAUGCAUAAUUUGAUUCUAUAAGAAUGUAGCCCGUAUAAUGGUCGACUUUUACCUAUCUAAUUCUUUGAAAUAUUUUAUAUUUGUAUGAAUAAUAUGAUCUUCCAGGGACUUUUAGUCGCUCAUGUGCUUUAUUUUGUUAUCCCUCGUAUAUUCUUUGGUUUCAUGAUUGUUGAUUUCAUGUAGAAGAUUUAUUUAUAUUUGUACAGGAAAGAUAGUUUUACUUUUCAAAUUAUCACAGGAGACUCUCUGCUUGUUAUUGACUUAUUAUUUCAUCAAUUGUGCUAGAUGAAGGAAAUGGAGUUCAAGAAGUUGUUCGAUACACAAAAUAUUGCUGCCUUGCUGCCUUUCGUAUUAAGAGGAAUCCGAUUCAGUGUGUUCUCCUUCCUCACUGCUCGUUGCCAGCUCUUGAAGUGCACCCAACAUUUACCGUACGAAAAGCGGUCUGCUGUACCGUACAUCCGCCUUGGCCGUACAGCAGAAUAAAAAUGAAAAUGAAAAUGGUGUUUUGCAAUUGCUGUAUUUCGAAUUUCAAUAUGUGUCUAGUAUCAUUUUCUGUAUCCUGUAUUUUAAAACUAAAAACUAAAAACAGUAAUAUGCGUUUGGUAGACACAGUUGAAAAUUAGGGGUGGGCAAUAGUCGGUUCGGCCGAGCCGAGCCGAACCGAACCAAAACCAAUCGGUUCUUUAGAAGAUGAACCGAAUAGGGACCGAAUUUAGGAACCGAACCGAACCGAACCGAAAUAUUUCGGUUCGGUUCGGUUCGGUUCCUAAAUUCGGUCCCUAUUCGGUUCAUCUUCUAAAGAACCGAUUGGUUUUGGUUCGGUUCGGCUCGGCUCGGCCGAACCGACUAUUGCCCACCCCUAAUUUUCAACUGUGUCUACCAAACGCAACUACGCACAGGAUCCUUCAACAACGUUCUUCCAAAGAUUGGUGUAGGUAACAAGUUCUGUGCUGCCACCCAACUUCGAAAAACUUCCCACACACACAUUCCCCCACACACACCCACACCCACACCUAGUAGCCCUGCUGUACGGCCAAGGCGGAUGUACGGUACAGCAGAUGACACACACACACACACACACAUAUAUAUAAAUCGGUCUCAAGUUAGUCUUGACUGUAAAAUCCAUUUUGUGGCGAAGUGCAAAGUAUGACAAGAGAUGACAAGGCAAAAGCAGCCAGCCAAUAUAACAAGAUAAUAAAUAAUAGUAUCACCACCAAUCUAGCGAGUUCACUUCGUUUAUCCUUAAUGAAGUCAAGCAUGACAAUGCCAAAAGAUAGUCAAUCAUAAUUAAAAUUCAAAACAAGUGAAAAAAAAUCAUCAUAAAACCUUGAAAAUCAUUGUAGACAAGGUUCCAUUAUCCAUAGCAACAAAAGUCAUGGCAACUAAUUAUAACCACUGAUCUCCAAAGGGCACCAUACACUAUCAUAAUUGAAGUAUUCUGCUGCUUGACUUACAACAUCAAGAACAUCAGGUCAAAAAGGGCCAGAAUCCUUUCAGCUUGUUAGUCUGCUACUGUCAUGAUGCAAACCACUCACUGGCAGGCAUCUGUUUUUAGAAAAAAAAAGACUUCGACCUGUAAUCAUCAAAUCGUAAUUUAGCAAUCAGCAAUUCAAAUCCGCUACAGGGUUGAGCAACCUUUUGCAAAUCAAAAAGUUUGCACUAAUUCACAUAAUACAACUAAUACUAAAAUGAAUCUAAAACUCAGAUCAGGAAGUGGUCAAAGCCAUUAAAGGAAUGGUCAGAGUGUAACAAGCUACCAGGUGUUAACAAUGGAGGGAAGUGGUACAGUGUGCUUGAAUAUGCAAAAACAAUCAGAGUCUACCAACUGCAAUGAACUGGAUGCAGUAGGAAAUGCAUUAGUUGCCACCGUUAAGAAGAUAACCGUUGCCCACAGACAACAACAGUGUUGGAUACAUCCUAAGAAGAAACAGGGUACCUUCACUUUAUCUCUUUUAAGAAGAUUAAACAGUUCAAUAUGGAGGUAUAACAGAAACAGUGGACUACACUGAAGAAGAUAUUCGAUUGAAAAUUAAGGAGUUGAUUAAAUCUUUAAGAUACUGAGACAGCAUAGUUUUUUAUGAAUGGAAACAAAAUAGUAGCCAUGUUGCAAGUUACAAAUUCAGCCUGGAAGCAGAAUUUUUUUUUGCGACAAGGAUGGCAUGAAGAUGACCGGCGUCGCACGAGCUUUCAAUCGGUACCAACCUUGGUCGGAGGAGUGGCCGGAAACGGAGACAAAAUCCGAGUUGGGUUCGUGGGUAUUGUGAUAAAGAGAGGGGUAUUGUGAUGUAUGUGCAAUAUAGAAUAAAAAUGUGUAAAUAGUAAAUAGUUUAAGGUGCUAAGUAAAAUGUUCAUAUGGAUGCAGUAGAAAUUAACUUAAUAUUUAUAAAGUAAAGAUUAAAUAAAAUUGAGUAAAAUGGGUUCUAUAAAAAUUUACAAUUGUGCUGACAAAAAGACAAAAAUAGUGGUACGGUACCACUGUGGUACCGUAGCUUGAUCCUCCUUAAAGUUUGAAUUAAUGAUAGAAUUACACAAAUAUUUUACUUUAGUGGGCUUAUUGAUGACAUGCGUAUCAUUUUUGUCAAUUUAUAGUUGUAAAUUUAUAUUUUUAAAAUGUAUUUUAAUCAUCAUUCCUACUUACCUCACAAAGUUGCUUUGUUUUCCCAAAAAAAGAAAAAGAAAAAAACCGUUUGAAAUAUUUUUUACGUGAUGCAUAAUUAUUGUGAGAAAAUAUAUACGAUGUUUGGGUGUUGUUUUACCAAUUUUCUAUCUAAAUAUGCAUAUGAAUAAACAUGUGAUUGACUUGUAAAAAUAAUGUGGUACUUUAAAUGUACAAAAUCGAUUAUGGAAUGCAAUUUAAUAUGCUCUAUAUUACUUUGAAGUUGGACACCGCGGUUAACUAACUACAAUAUGCACUAAAAAGGUGCUAUUGAAAUGAAUAUGUGAUUUUAAUCAUUUUAAAAUCUGAAAUUUGUGAUCUAAAACAUUUCGGGCAGAUGUUUAAUCGCAGCAGUUAUCUUUCACAAAUUAAAAAUUUUUACAUCAAAUUUUUUAGAGUAAUGAUACAGCCACAAACUCUUGUACAAACUUAUUUUGUACAAACUGACGUGGCAUGAUAAGAUUGGUUGAAUGAAAAUAUAAAUUAAUAAAAACAAAUCAUGUGGGCCAAGUGAUAUUUAAUUCAACCAAUCUUAUCAUGCCACAUCAGUUUGUACAAAAUAAAUUUGUACAAGAGUUUGUGGCUGUAUCAUUACUCAAUUUUUUAUUUUAUUUUAAGUGGUCGUCAAUUUAUCUUCCAUUCCUAGUUUUUUUUUUAAAUACCGAUAAUACACCAGAUUAUUGAAUUACAUUAGAUAUUUACAAUUGUUAUUACAAUAGAUAAUUAUAUUGAUAUUUAUAAUCAGACAUAUAAUUGGAGGUAUUAAAGUACCUUGUCCAGAUAAAUAACCCUCACAAACGAAGAAUAUUUCUACUCCAUUCUUAUUUCAUAAGGAAAAGAACUUACAAAUAAAUCUACACAAUUAUACAUAAUUCUUAAUUCUCAUUACCCUCAUUAUCUGUGAGGGUAAUGAGGGUAAAAGUUCACCGGUCCAGUGCUAUGCUAGUUAAGUGAUUGUGAUCUAACCAUUCGGGAAAUCUCAAUAGACCUUGUAUUUCGGUCGUUUUACAUUUUCCAUGACCAAUGGGCCAGCGCCACAAAAUAAAUUAAGAUUUAAAAUAACUAACAUAAAUGAUUAUUUAAUUUAAUAAUACUAGGGGAAAAAAAAGAGAGUAAACAAAUUCCAAGGACUUGACUUUUCUUUUUGAACAGUAUGCCAGGAAAAAAGUAACAAUUGCUAUGUCUCUCAUGUUUGCCACAAGGCAGACCACUCAAUUAGUUUCAUUACUUCCCUUUUUCUUGGUUUUGAUUAAAUAUAUAUAUAAUUACCAUUUAAUUUUAGAUCCGCCGUAAAAUUUUAUAACAUGGGUACAUUUAUGAUGACAAAAACAUUAAAAAAGAGGAAAAAAAACAUGAUCCAUAGCAUAUGCAUUUAUAAAUAUAAUUCAUAUUCAAACAAUGAGCCUCAUAAUUUAUUUGUUGCUAAUUAAACUAGCGGGAUACUAUAAUUUAUUAAUGCCAACGAAGCGACACAGUACAAAUAGACUUGCACUUGUGAGCUCCGUAGCUGAUGAUUGUCUUGGGUGCUUUGAUCCUGAAGUAGCCGUUCUUGUCCGUUUUGCCAACCACAUUGAGUGGAUACUUGGUGUUGUUGCACUGCAAUUUCAGAGUCGCCCCUGCAAUUGAACCCAUGGACAAUAUUAAAAGAAUAAAAAAAAAUUUAAAUACUAGGGACUUCAAAAAGAGAGCUUGAAAAAGGAAAAAGUAGCUAGCUAUGCUGCCAUAACCAUGCCUCCUACUGAAUGUGACAUAAACCUAGAACAAAGAGAAAGAAAGAGAUCAAGAGCACCUCUCUCUCUCUCCAUUCAAAAUCUGGAAAUGUAUACAUCACGCAUCCAUGAAAACAAAUGCACAUUCGCAUCCAUACGUAUGUUAUGUAUGCAUGAUAUCUAACUAAACAUACAUGUGAAAUUAAUUGAAGUAAUAAUGAUAGAAAAAAAUCAAGUAUGUAAGAGUUUGGAGCAGGGAAAAUUAAGUUGAAAGAUUUCGAAACUGACCUAGAACAGCGGUAGCUCCUAGGAGGGUAUCAGCUCCUGCGUACUUGCAAGACUUGCAAUAAACGACGCCUUGAACUUCAACAAGGCUCCUAGGGAAACGAUGGGUGGGUGUGGGUGGGUGAGCAGGAGCAACGUGUGGUGGAGGUGGGUGAGCAGGAGCAACGUGCGGUGGAGGUGGGUGAGCAGGAGCAACGUGUGAAGGUGGGUGAGCAGGUGCAUGAGCGGGAGUGUGAGCCGGUGCAUGAGCCGGCGGGUGGGGGUGGUGGUGAUGAUGGUGGUGGCUUGGGGCGUGAGCCGGUGGGGCAGUAGGAGGGUGGCUGUGGUGGUGGUG